rnacentral:rRNA from 1 species
CGAGCGGACCGGAUUUGGAGCUUGCUCUGGUUUGGUCAGCGGCGGACGGGUGAGUAACACGUGGGCAACCUGCCCGCAAGACCGGGAUAACUCCGGGAAACCGGAGCUAAUACCGGAUAACACCGAAUACCGCAUGGUCUUUGGUUGAAAGGCGGCCUUUGGCUGUCACUUGGGGAUGGGCCCCCGGCGCAUUAACUAGUUGGUGAGGUAACGGCUCACCAAGGCAACCAUGCCUAGCCAGCCUGAAAGGGUGAACGGCCACACUGGGACUGAAACACGGCCCAAACUCCUACGGGAGGCAGCAAUAGGGAAUCUUCCGCAAUGGGCGAAAGCCUGACGGAACCACCCCGCGUGAGCGAAAAAUGUCCUCCGGUCGUAAAUCUCUUGUGUGAGGGAAGAAAGGGCCCCUUUCGAAGAGGGGUGCCCGGUGACUGUACCUCACGAAAAAGCCCCGGCUAACUACGUGCCCACAGCCGCGGUUAUACGUAGGGGGCGAGCGUUGUCCGGAAUAUAUUGGGCGUAAAGCGCGCGCAGGCGGUUCCUUAAGUCUGAUGUGAAAGCCCACGGCUCAACCCUGGACGGUCAUUGGAAAACUGGGGGGACUUGUGUGCAGAGAAGAGAGCGGUAAUUCCACGUGUAGCGGUGAAAUGCAUAGAAGAUGUGGGAAGCACCACCAGUGGCGAACGGCGUUCUCUUGGUCUGCAACUGACUGCUGAGGCGCAAAAGCGUGGGGGAACAAACAAGAUUAAAUACUCUGGUUCUCCACCGCCGUAAAACGAAGAGUUGCUAAGUUUUAGGAGGGGGUCACACCCUUUGUGCUGCCUCUAACGCUAUAAGCCCUCCCUCUGGGAGAAAUACUGGCCCAGGGUAAAACUCAAAAGGAAUUGAGGGGGCCCCAAAGCGGGGGACUUGGGGUUUUAUUUCAAAACACCCAAAACCUUAAGGGUUUGACCCUCCUGACACCCAAAAAUGGGUUUCCCCCUUUCGGGNAAAAGGGGA